AUUUUGCUUAAAUUUUUAUGAGCUAUGUUCUUAUUGAAUACCUAUUUAAUUACAUAUGAGGCAUGUCUAGGGUAUUUGUCAUGGAGUCCAUGCUCUAUGUCCAAUCAGUGGGUUUUAUCUAUUUCACUAUGCAAAAUAUUCAGACUAAACUUCAUCAAAUUAUAUGGUAUUGAAUAACUAAGUGUAUUACUCUUGUACAUUAAAAUAAAUGGCCUCAAAAUGCCCAAAGUUUCUGCAUUAAAAGAAAAAGGUUCAUUGGAAAAUUUUCUCAGUUGGGUGCUUGAAAUGUUAACAAUGCAGGUGAAAGUUAAUCCAUAUGGUAUAAUUUUCUUGCAUACUUUUAUAUUUGAGUAUAAUAUUGUGAACCUGUCAUCUGUCGUCCUUUUGGCGCAAUUUAUUGAAUGUCA
rnacentral:misc_RNA from 1 species